rnacentral:rRNA from 1 species
GACGAACGCUGGCGGCGUGCUUAACACAUGCAAGUCGAACGGAAAGGCCCUGCUUUUGUGGGGUGCUCGAGUGGCGAACGGGUGAGUAACACGUGAGUAACCUGCCCUUGACUUUGGGAUAACUUCAGGAAACUGGGGCUAAUACCGGAUAGGAGCUCCUGCUGCAUGGUGGGGGUUGGAAAGUUUCGGCGGUUGGGGAUGAACUCGCGGCUUAUCAGCUUGUUGGUGGGGUAGUGGCUUACCAAGGCUUUGACGGGUAGCCGGCCUGAGAGGGUGACCGGCCACAUGGGAACUAAGAUACGGCCCAGACUCUUACGGGGGGAAGCAGUGGGAAAUAUGGCACAAGGGGCGAAGGCCGGAGGCAGCAACGCCGCGGGCGGAAUGACGGCCUUCGGGUUGUAAACCGCUUUCGCCUGUGACGAAGCGUGAGGGACGGUAAUGGGAAAGGAAGCACCGGCUAAUUACGU